rnacentral:rRNA from 1 species
GGGUUGUGAGGUUAAGCGACUAAGCGUACACGGUGGAUGCCCUGGCAGUCAGAGGCGAUGAAGGACGUGCUAAUCUGCGAUAAGCGUCGGUAAGGUGAUAUGAACCGUUAUAACCGGCGAUUUCCGAAUGGGGAAACCCAGUGUGUUUCGACACACUAUCAUUAACUGAAUCCAUAGGUUAAUGAGGCGAACCGGGGGAACUGAAACAUCUAAGUACCCCGAGGAAAAGAAAUCAACCGAGAUUCCCCCAGUAGCGGCGAGCGAACGGGGAGCAGCCCAGAGCCUGAAUCAGUGUGUGUGUUAGUGGAAGCGUCUGGAAAGGCGCGCGAUACAGGGUGACAGCCCCGUACACAAAAAUGCACAUGCUGUGAGCUCGAUGAGUAGGGCGGGACACGUGGUAUCCUGUCUGAAUAUGGGGGGACCAUCCUCCAAGGCUAAAUACUCCUGACUGACCGAUAGUGAACCAGUACCGUGAGGGAAAGGCGAAAAGAACCCCGGCGAGGGGAGUGAAAAAGAACCUGAAACCGUGUACGUACAAGCAGUGGGAGCACGCUUAGGCGUGUGACUGCGUACCUUUUGUAUAAUGGGUCAGCGACUUAUAUUCUGUAGCAAGGUUAACCGAAUAGGGGAGCCGAAGGGAAACCGAGUCUUAACUGGGCGUUAAGUUGCAGGGUAUAGACCCGAAACCCGGUGAUCUAGCCAUGGGCAGGUUGAAGGUUGGGUAACACUAACUGGAGGACCGAACCGACUAAUGUUGAAAAAUUAGCGGAUGACUUGUGGCUGGGGGUGAAAGGCCAAUCAAACCGGGAGAUAGCUGGUUCUCCCCGAAAGCUAUUUAGGUAGCGCCUCGUGAAUUCAUCUCCGGGGGUAGAGCACUGUUUCGGCAAGGGGGUCAUCCCGACUUACCAACCCGAUGCAAACUGCGAAUACCGGAGAAUGUUAUCACGGGAGACACACGGCGGUGCUAACGUCCGUCGUGAAGAGGGAAACAACCCAGACCGCCAGCUAAGGUCCCAAAGUCAUGGUUAAGUGGGAAACGAUGUGGGAAGGCCCAGACAGCCAGGAUGUUGGCUUAGAAGCAGCCAUCAUUUAAAGAAAGCGUAAUAGCUCACUGGUCGAGUCGGCCUGCGCGGAAGAUGUAACGGGGCUAAACCAUGCACCGAAGCUGCGGCAGCGACGCUUAUGCGUUGUUGGGUAGGGGAGCGUUCUGUAAGCCUGCGAAGGUGUGCUGUGAGGCAUGCUGGAGGUAUCAGAAGUGCGAAUGCUGACAUAAGUAACGAUAAAGCGGGUGAAAAGCCCGCUCGCCGGAAGACCAAGGGUUCCUGUCCAACGUUAAUCGGGGCAGGGUGAGUCGACCCCUAAGGCGAGGCCGAAAGGCGUAGUCGAUGGGAAACAGGUUAAUAUUCCUGUACUUGGUGUUACUGCGAAGGGGGGACGGAGAAGGCUAUGUUGGCCGGGCGACGGUUGUCCCGGUUUAAGCGUGUAGGCUGGUUUUCCAGGCAAAUCCGGAAAAUCAAGGCUGAGGCGUGAUGACGAGGCACUACGGUGCUGAAGCAACAAAUGCCCUGCUUCCAGGAAAAGCCUCUAAGCAUCAGGUAACAUCAAAUCGUACCCCAAACCGACACAGGUGGUCAGGUAGAGAAUACCAAGGCGCUUGAGAGAACUCGGGUGAAGGAACUAGGCAAAAUGGUGCCGUAACUUCGGGAGAAGGCACGCUGAUAUGUAGGUGAGGUCCCUCGCGGAUGGAGCUGAAAUCAGUCGAAGAUACCAGCUGGCUGCAACUGUUUAUUAAAAACACAGCACUGUGCAAACACGAAAGUGGACGUAUACGGUGUGACGCCUGCCCGGUGCCGGAAGGUUAAUUGAUGGGGUUAGCGCAAGCGAAGCUCUUGAUCGAAGCCCCGGUAAACGGCGGCCGUAACUAUAACGGUCCUAAGGUAGCGAAAUUCCUUGUCGGGUAAGUUCCGACCUGCACGAAUGGCGUAAUGAUGGCCAGGCUGUCUCCACCCGAGACUCAGUGAAAUUGAACUCGCUGUGAAGAUGCAGUGUACCCGCGGCAAGACGGAAAGACCCCGUGAACCUUUACUAUAGCUUGACACUGAACAUUGAGCCUUGAUGUGUAGGAUAGGUGGGAGGCUUUGAAGUGUGGACGCCAGUCUGCAUGGAGCCGACCUGAAAUACCACCCUUUAAUGUUUGAUGUUCUAACGUUGACCCGUAAUCCGGGUUGCGGACAGUGUCUGGUGGGUAGUUUGACUGGGGCGGUCUCCUCCUAAAGAGUAACGGAGGAGCACGAAGGUUGGCUAAUCCUGGUCGGACAUCAGGAGGUUAGUGCAAUGGCAUAAGCCAGCUUGACUGCGAGCGUGACGGCGCGAGCAGGUGCGAAAGCAGGUCAUAGUGAUCCGGUGGUUCUGAAUGGAAGGGCCAUCGCUCAACGGAUAAAAGGUACUCCGGGGAUAACAGGCUGAUACCGCCCAAGAGUUCAUAUCGACGGCGGUGUUUGGCACCUCGAUGUCGGCUCAUCACAUCCUGGGGCUGAAGUAGGUCCCAAGGGUAUGGCUGUUCGCCAUUUAAAGUGGUACGCGAGCUGGGUUUAGAACGUCGUGAGACAGUUCGGUCCCUAUCUGCCGUGGGCGCUGGAGAACUGAGGGGGGCUGCUCCUAGUACGAGAGGACCGGAGUGGACGCAUCACUGGUGUUCGGGUUGUCAUGCCAAUGGCACUGCCCGGUAGCUAAAUGCGGAAGAGAUAAGUGCUGAAAGCAUCUAAGCACGAAACUUGCCCCGAGAUGAGUUCUCCCUGACCCUUUAAGGGUCCUGAAGGAACGUUGAAGACGACGACGUUGAUAGGCCGGGUGUGUAAGCGCAGCGAUGCGUUGAGCUAACCGGUACUAAUGAACCGUGAGGCUUAACCUUACAACGCCGAAGCUGUU